UACAAUGCAGUCGAACGAUAGCAACCAGAGCUUGCUCUCGUGUGAUUAGUGGCGGACGGGUGAGUAAUGUCUGGGAAACCGCCCGAUGGAAGGGGAAAACUACUGGAAACGGGGGCUAAAACCGCAAAACGUCUCAAAACCAAAGAGGGGGACCUUCGGGCCUCUUGCCAUCUGAUGUUCCCGGAUGGGAUUAGCUCGUAGGCGGGGUAUUGGCCCACCUCGGCCACAAUCCCCAGCUGUUCUGAGAGGAUCACCAGCCACACUGGAACUGAGACACGGUUCCAGACUCCCCCAGGAGCUCCGGUGGGGAAUAUUGCGCAAUGUGCGCAAGCCUGAUGCAGCCAUGCCGCGUGUGUGAGCAAGGCCUUCGGGUUGUAAAGCACUUUCAGCGGGGAGGAGGGCGGGACGGACAAUAACCGUGCUGAUUGACGUUACCCGCAGAAGAAGCACCGGCUAACUCCGUGCCAGCUGCCGCGGAAAUACGGAGGGUGCAUGCGUUAGUCGAAAUUUCUGCGCGUAUAGCGCGCGCUGGAGGUCUGUCAAGUCGGAUGUGAAAUCCCCGGGCUCUACCAGUGAAGUCUGUUCCACGCCGGUAAACUGGAGUCUCGUAGAGGAAGGUCGACUUUCGGGGGUUGUGGCCAAAUGCCUUGAGGCCUGGAGGAAUACCGGUGGCGAAGGUGGCUUCCUGGACGAAGACUGACGCUCAGGUGCGAAAGCGUCGGAAGCUAACCGCGUUAAACUCGCUGGUAGUCCACGCUGUAAACGAUGUCCGCCUGGGGGAGUCCGGCCCGCAAGGCGUGGCUUCCGGAGCUAACGCGUUAAAUCGACCGCCUGGGGAGUACGGCCGCAAGGUUAAACCUCAAAUGAAUUGCCGGGGGCCCGCACAAGCGGUGGAGCAUGUGGUUUAAUUCGAUGCAACGCGAAGAACCUUACCUGGUCUUGACAUCCACAGAACUUGCCAGAGAUGGCGUGGUGCCUUCGGGAACUGUGAGACAGGUGCUGCAUGGCUGUCGUCAGCUCGUGUUGUGAAAUGUUGGGUUAAGUCCCGCAACGAGCGCAACCCUUAUCCUUUGUUGCCAGCGGUUCGGCCGGGAACUCAAAGGAGACUGCCAGUGAUAAACUGGAGGAAGGUGGGGAUGACGUCAAGUCAUCAUGGCCCUUACGACCAGGGCUACACACGUGCUACAAUGGCGCAUACAAAGAGAAGCGACCUCGCGAGAGCAAGCGGACCUCAUAAAGUGCGUCGUAGUCCGGAUUGGAGUCUGCAACUCGACUCCAUGAAGUCGGAAUCGCUAGUAAUCGUGAAUCAGAAUGUCACGGUGAAUACGUUCCCGGGCCUUGUACACACCGCCCGUCACACCAUGGGAGUGGGUUGCAAAAGAAGUAGU
rnacentral:rRNA from 1 species